rnacentral:lncRNA from 1 species
GUGCUAUUCAUGUGUCCAGGUGCUAAUAUUAUAAUUUAUUGGGGGGAAAGAAUCAUAAAGGAAAAGAGGUACCUGUGUUUUAUUAUUUUCCUCUCACCCCUCCCCCAUUCUGCCAAUUGCCCACCCUGUUCACCCAGGGUGAUUGAUGUUCAGCUGGUUUGCACCUUUGUGGCUCCUGUGAUCGUAAAAUAUUUUGAAUAUUUCUGCUUCUCAGAUCCACACCCCUGCACCUGCACACACCCCAUCUCUCAUGUUCCUGCCAGCACAAUGGGAGGGAGGAACAGAAAUCGAUUUUCUUUGAGUGAAAGAAAGUUUACUAACAUGCCAUUCCUUGUACAGUAGAGUUUCUAAUAAAUACCUCUUUUUAGCUUUGACCAGCUCAAGGGAGUUUUUGUUACCUAUAAACAAAAGAGCUAAACGCAUUCAGAGUGCUUUUAAUAUAGGCAUAAAGAUUAAAAAAAAUAGAAUGGAAGAGUUGGUAGAAAUUACAUUAUCAUUUGAUAGAUGAGUAAACAGAUCCAGAAAGCUAAAGAACCUUGUGGUUUCACAUAGAUGUCAGGGUGGAGACUGUGGGUCUCUUUCACUCCAUGAGCCUUACCCUUCAGCACCCUCUCCUUUAAUUUACAGCCCUGGCAUUGUGCAAAGAUGGGAAAUGUUUGCAUUAUUUAAUUUCACAGAAAUAUGAACCAAUGUUCUUACUGUUUAUUCGGAUUAUUUUGAUUAGCAAGAAAAGUAUAACUGCAGUUUAAUGGGUGCAUGGCCAUACUGAAUCAAUGCUUGUUUGAUUGCUAGGAGAUUUCAACUGUGGUGGACAAGCAGGGAUUGAUGUGCCUUGGGUAUAGUGGUUGAAUGCAAUAAUUAUUAAAUAAAGACAAAACUGAACUGGC